AAAAACUGAGGUGGUAUACGAUGGGUCCGCGUCUGAUUAGCUAGUUGGUGGGGUAAAAGCCUACCAAGGCAACGAUCAGUAGCCGGCCUGAGAGGGUGAACGGCCACAUUGGGACUGAGACACGGCCCAAACUCCUACGGAGGGCAGCAGUGGGGAAUAUUGCACAAUGGGGGAAACCUUGAUGCAGCGACGCCGCGUGAGUGAAGAAGUAUUUCGGUAUGUAAAGCUCUACCAGCAGGGAAGAAAUACUGACCAUAGGGUCAGCAGACGGUACUUGACUAAGAAGCCCCGGCUAACUACGUGCCAGCAGCCGCGGUAAUACGUAGGGGGCAAGCGUUAUCCGGAUUUACUGGGUGUAAAGGGAGCGUAGACGGCAGCGCAAGUCUGAAGUGAAAUGCCAGGGCUUAACCCUGGAACUGCUUUGGAAACUGUGCAGCUAGAGUGCAGGAGAGGUAAGUGGAAUUUCUAGUGUAGCGGUGAAAUGCGUAGAUAUUAGGAGGAACACCAGUGGCGAAGGCGGCUUACUGGACUGUAACUGACGUUGAGGCUCGAAAGCGUGGGGAGCAAACAGGAUUAGAUACCCUGGUAGUCCACGCUGUAAACGAUGAUUACUAGGUGUUGGGGGACCAAGGUUCUUCG
rnacentral:rRNA from 1 species